AGGCGCACUACUUUACAAGGCUUUUAAGAUCAAAGGGUCACUCCCGUCCGCCGCCGGGGAGCGCGGAGGGAUCCGCCACACUCAUUUCCGGCGUUAGCCCGAAGGGCGGAGAGAGAAGUCUUUCAUCCCAAGAAAGGUUUAUUACUGUGAAGUACGAGUUCUCCUAGUUCUCGCGCGAGAUGCUGGAGGAGAGCGCGCAUCAAGAUGAUUGGUCAGACAUGAUGGUGCAAAAAAACUUCCAGCUGGAGAAGUCGGAGCAGAUGCUGUUGAUUCAGGCAGAGGUGGGGGUUACUGAGUAGAAGGGCAGAGAAGCGGGAAGAGGCCCUACAUCUUUCCCCAGAGAUUAAAAAAAAAAAUGUGUGUGUAUUGGGGGGGGGGGGUCUUCCCCUCCUCCAACCAAGAAUCUCAAAGCACUUGGCUGUCGUCCAGGUGUUAUGAUGAGACUUGCCCCAUCUCAGUCAGCAAACCCACCAGGACCUGAGCCAAGGAUUCCCACCGCUUCUAGUUCUGAGGACUUCUAAGAGGUUCUUGCUUGUGAAGUGGCAAAGUUCUGCUUUUUGGUUUUGUGAAACAUAGGUAAGAGACAGAGCUGCCCUGAGAAAGAUGCUCUUUAAGAGGAGAUACACUCAAAUCACCAUUACACUUGGCUUUGAUAAUUCGGGAUUUGAUCUUUAAAAUCUUUUCUUUUUUGA